ACGGAAGGCAGCAGUGGGGAAUAUUGCACAAUGGGGGAAACCCUGAUGCAGCGACGCCGCGUGAGUGAUGAAGUAUUUCGGUAUGUAAAGCUCUAUCAGUAGGGAAGACAAUGACGGUACCUAACUAAGAAGCACCGGCUAAAUACGUGCCAGCAGCCGCGGUAAUACGUAUGGUGCAAGCGUUAUCCGGAUUUACUGGGUGUAAAGGGAGCGUAGGUGGUAUAGCAAGCCAGAAGUGAAAACCCGGGGCUCAACCCCGUGGAUUGCUUCUGGAACUGUUAAACUAGAGUGCAGGAGGGGUAAGCGGAAUUCCCAGUGUAGCGGUGAAAUGCUUAGAGAUUGGGAAGAACACCGGCGGCGAAGGCGGCUUACUGGACUGUUACUGACACUGAGGCUCGAAAGCGUGGGGAGCAAACAGGAUUAGAUACCCUGGUA
rnacentral:rRNA from 1 species